GACGUAGGGGGCAAGCGUUGUCCGGAAUCAUUGGGCGUAAAGCGCGUGUAGGCGGCUCGAUAAGUCUGCUGUGAAAGUCCAAGGCUCAACCUUGGGAUGCCGGUGGAUACUGUCGAGCUCGAGUCCGGAAGAGGAGUGUGGAAUUCCUGGUGUAGCGGUGAAAUGCGCAGAUAUCAGGAGGAACACCAAUGGCGAAGGCAGCACUCUGGGACGUGACUGACGCUGAGACGCGAAAGCGUGGGGAGCAAACAGG
rnacentral:rRNA from 1 species